AUUUCUGGGCAGAAAUUGAUUGUUUAACUGAUCAACAGCAGACUGAUCUGCUGCAGUCAGUCAGAGGAUUUCCAUAGAGUCACUUUGCAUCAGCAGCUCCAUGCUCCAGUGCUCUGGGAGAGUUUAUAGUCCUGACAGUUGAACACUGGAUGACUGACAGCUGUCCUUCAUCACAACAGAAGACACAGAAAUCCUCCUCAUCACAAACAUGACUUUGAUCUGCGUCCUCAUCUGGACUCUCCUCUGCAGCUGCUUCACAGAGGUCAGAGGUCAGGUCACAGUGACUCAGCAGCCUGUAGCAGUGAGAGCUGAUCUGGGAAGAUCUAUCAGCAUCAACUGUAGAACCAGUCAGAAUGUUUAUGUGGACAGCAAUGGCCACCGUUUAGCCUGGUACCAACAGAAAGAUGGACAAACUCCUAAGCUUCUCAUUUAUCUUUCUAGCACUAAAGAAUCAGGGACUCCAAGUCGUUUCUCAGGCAGUGGCUCAAAUUCUGACUUCACUCUGACCAUCAGUGGAGUUCAGGCUGAAGAUGCUGCAGUUUAUUACUGUCAGAGUCUUCAUAACAUUGGGAGUCAGUGGCCAUUCACACAGUGAAAAACAGUCGUACAAAAACCUUCCUCAAUCAAACUGAACUGAAACUCAAGUUUCAGUGCAAUGACAGUGGCAGCUGGAAGCUGCAGUAAAGACAGACAUAAUUAAAUGAGCACAAGUUGGAGCGUACUCAAAGACUAGCUUAUAGCAUUUGAUAAGCUGAGUGAGGCUUAAGAAGGGGAACAAUCAGGGAGCGACAGGUGCAAGGAAUAAAAGUAAUGAGGAAAAUGACUUUGAUUGGCUCUAAAGAAACGACACAGAGCACCACGUGAACAUCACAGCAUGAAGCUCAAAACAUAUUAGUAAGUCCACUGAAGAACAACUCUGAAUAA